CCUGUCCCUAGCUCUGUGGUGGUCCACGGCGGCCCAGAGCCACCUCCUCCUGUCCGCAAACCUCCCCUCCCUGCCCAGGCUGCCUGGCGCUGGCCAAGCCACCUGUGGCUAUCACAGAGCAUUGGCUGGCCAGCCAGUGAGAGCAGAGGCUGCCACGGCCACUGACCUGUGAUGUCCCCACAAUGGACCUUUGAGGAAAAAACCCAGGAGGUGCCAGAGUGUCCCCAACACUGGCCACUCCUGAUGGACUCAGGCCUUUGCCUGUGAGUCGAACACUGAGGUGGGGGGAGGGGACUGGGAAUCCUGGCCUUUGCCCCAGGCCUUUGCAGGCCCCGCCCUGCCCCUCCACAUGGCUGAGCAGAGCUGGCCCCACUGGCCCUGCCUGAGGACCACCAGAAAGCUGCCAGUAGCCCCAAGUUGCUCAAAGCCACCCUGAGAUGGAAAGGGGUUUGAAAUCCUCCUUCUACACGGGAGGCAGGGAGCAGGGGCUUCCUGGCCAAGGUCAGCAGCCAGUAAGGGUGAGAAUGGGAUUUGAACCCAGGACCCCAGCUGAUCCUGCUCUUUCUGGCACCCUUCUGUGCCCAAGGGUGGCCAAUUUGUCCCUCUGGGCCCCUGGGCUUCCCAUUUGUAGACCUGCACGUGUUUGUGCCCCUGUGGGAUGUGGGGGUGCAGAGGGCUGACUCAACACUCCACUUCCUCUGUCCACGUGAACAGGAAGGGCCAGGGCAGCCUGGAGCCCCUUCCUCCUUCUAAGGCCAGCCUCUGAAGGGACCGCUCCUUGUCCCUGUAGGCAGGGGAUGCUCCCAAAGUCUAGGGCCCUGUCAGUGUCCCUCUUGCCAGAUGGCCCUGGGCAGGGUCUGCCCCCUGCCAGGGUGUGCCCCAAACAGGACACUGGGCAGAAACCAGGAGGGGUGGUGAAGGGAGCCCCGUCCGCCCUGGCCCUGCCGAGGUGUCUGGCAAAGGUGGAGAGUCCAGCCCCAGCCAGGACAGGGCUCCCCUAGGUGGCGUGGAGCUGGCGCUGGGCCUCCCUGACCCAGGCCCUGCCCUGGCCCACCUAUCUGGUCACCAGCAUCGGACAGCAGGUGACACUCCAGGUCGCCCGCCAGGUUGGCGAGCGGCGGGCACCCAGGAGGCCCCAAGGACCCGCCCCGCUCCGGGAGAAGGCGGACGAGGCCCUGGGCUUAGACUUCUGGGCUGCUCCCGUACACAGCGGGUGCUCACUAAGUGCAGGUCGCCAAGGACCGCGGGCCGUGUCUCCCCUCAUCAGAAAACAACCAGGCACUUUCCGACCUCAGGGCCUCUGCUCAGUGGCUCCUCCGCUGGAUCACUGCCCCCGGAUUCUUGCCUCGGCCUCGGACCGCACCUCCUCCGUCUGGUUCAGGCUUCAUGAUUGCUUUAUUAGAAAGUUCUUUGCUUGCUGGGUGUGGUGCACGCCUGUGAUCCCAGCACUCUGGGAGGCUGAGGCAGGAGGAUCACAAGUUCAAGCCCAUCCUGGGCAAUUUAGCAACUUAGCAAGACCCUGUCUCAAAAUUAGAUAAAGGGCUGGGGAUGCAGCUCAGUGUGAGCCCUGGGUUCAAUCCCAGUACCGCAAAAAAACAAAAAUUUUGGCCGGGGAUGGAGCUCAGUGGUUUCACCGCCUGCUGCGCAAGCGCAAGGACCCGAGUUCGAUCCCCGGUACCAAAAAAAUAAAAAUAAAAUAAAAUAAAAAAUUUUUAUUUCUCUUUUGAAAACUGCUCACCGUCCAGUGCCCUCCUCCCUUGUCUUCCCUGACCCUGCUAGGGCCAUCAGGUCCACCGGGUCUGUGUCCAGAGCGCCCCCCACGUCCCCAUCCCAGCAGAGGUCCCAGCUGGUACCAAGCAGCCUCUUCCCAGGGGUCUGUUCCGCCCAGGGGACAGCACGGCGGCCACGGGUGCCAGCCCACAGUGCCAAUGGGGCAGAGCCAGGGGACGGUGUGCCCGACCUGGCCGCUGGAGAGAGGGGUCUGGGGAGGCGCAUGGGGCGGGAGCCCAGGCUCCAGCUCCCCACGCAGGCCAGCCCGCUCGCCUGUGGUCCGGGGCGCAGGGCUAUGAGAAGGGGACUCCAGGGACGGCUGUGUGCGCGGCCAGAGCAGGGGAGACGGGGCCAGGCUCAGCUCAGCCACACCCGCCCUCACAGGCCCGGGUCCUGGCAGGCGCCCUCCCCCAGCCUGGUGGGCCUGCCGCUGUUCAGCACAGGGCGCUGCGGUGUCAGAGACGGCCUUUCUGGUG
rnacentral:lncRNA from 1 species